CUGCUCGGCCCCGCGAUGCCGGUGGACCUCAGCAAGUGGUUCGGGCCCUUGAGCCUGCAGGAAGCGAACGAGCAGCCGCAGCGCCCGCUGCAUGUCACCUGCGGGGGGCGGCGGUGGACGAGCUGGGCGAAGUGCUGAUGCCCACCCAGGUCAAGAACAGACCCACCAGGAUUUCGUGGGAGGGUCUUGAUUCAGGGAAGCUCUACACCUUGGUCCUGACAGACCCGAUGCUCCCAGCAGGAAGGAUCCCAAGUACGGAGAAUGGCAUCAUUUCCUGGUGGUCAACAUGAAGGGCAAUGACAUCAGCAGUGGCACAGACCUCUCCGAUUACCUGGGCUCGGGGCCUCCCAAGGGCACAGGCCUCCACCGCUGUGUCUGGCUGGUUUACGAGCAGGACAGGCCGCUGAAGUGUGACGGGCCCAUUCUCAGCAACCGAUCUGGAGACCACCGAGGCAAAUUCAAGGUGACGUCCUUCCCUAAAAAGUAGGAGCUGGGGGCCCCUGUGGCCGGCACAUGUUACCAGGCCGAGAGGAUUGACUACAUGCCCAAACUGUACAAGCAGCUGUCUGGGAAGUAGAGGGUUAGCUUGGGGACCAGAACAGUCUGUCCUGGAGGCCCCAAGCCAUGUUCCCCAGUUCAGUGUUGCAUGUGUAAUAGAUUUCUCCUCUCCCUUCCCCGCUUUGCACAGGCAAGACCUGAGCAGUCAGAUGGUGGUUUAGGGUGACUUUUCCUGCUGCCUGGCCUUUAUAAUUUUAGUCACUCACUCACUCUGAUUUAUGUUUUGGUCAAAUUUGAAUUCCAUUUUGGGGGAUAUUUUGGUACUGUGAUGGGGUUAUCAAAUUGUUAAUAUGAAAACAGCAACCCAGAAUGUAAAGAA